rnacentral:rRNA from 1 species
GACGAACGCUGGCGGCGUGCUUAACACAUGCAAGUCGAACGGUAAGGCCCUUCGGGGUACACGAGUGGCGAACGGGUGAGUAACACGUGGGUGAUCUGCCCUGCACUUCGGGAUAAGCCUGGGAAACUGGGUCUAAUACCGGAUAGGACCACUGCCUGCAUGGGUGGUGGUGGAAAGCUUUUGCGGUGUGGGAUGGGCCCGCGGCCUAUCAGCUUGUUGGUGGGGGGAUGGCCUACCAAGGCGACGACGGGUAGCCGGCCGGAGAGGGUGACCGGCCACAGUGGGACUGAGAUACGGCCCAGACUCCUACGGGAGGCAGCAGUGGGGAAUAUUGCACAAGGGGCGCAAGCCUGAUGCAGCGACGCCGCGUGAGGGAUGACGGCCUUCGGGUUGUAAACCUCUUUCAGCACCGACGAAGCGCAAGUGGCGGUAGGUGCAGAAGAAGGACCGGCCAACUACGUGCCAGCAGCCGCCGUAA